GAUGAACGCUGGCGGCGUGCCUAAUACAUGCAAGUCGAGCGAACAGACGCGGCGCUUGCUCCUCUGACGUUAGCGGCGGACGGGUGAGUAACACGUGGAUAACCUACCUAUAAGACUGGGAUAACUUCGGGAAACCGGAGCUAAUACCGGAUAAUAUAUUGAACCGCAUGGUUCAAUAGUGAAAGACGGUUUUGCUGUCACUUCUAGAUGGAUCCGCGCCGCAUUAGCUAGUUGGUAAGGUAACGGCUUACCAAGGCGACGAUGCGUAUCCGACGUGAGAGGGGGAUCGGCCACCCUGGAGGUGAGCCACGGUCCAGACGCCUACGGGAGGCAGCAGUAGGGAAUGUUCGGCAAUGGGCGAAAGCCUGACGGAGCAACGGCGCGUGAGUGAUGAAGGCCUUCGGAUCGUAAAACUCUGUUAUUAGGGAAGAACAAAUGUGGAAGUAACUAUGCACGUCUUGACGGUACCUAAUCAGAAAGCCACGGCUAACUACGUG
rnacentral:rRNA from 1 species